CGAGCUUCCUGUGGUAAACAGGAAGUUAACAGAAGGCCACAUAUCCAGGAAGAAUAGAUGCUCGGAAGAUUCUUGAGGCAUCUUCCAUCAUAAAUGGGAGUGAACACUUGCUGGUGGUGGAGAAUCUGACCAACCAAUCUGUGGAAACAAUGAUUGUGGAGCUACCUGUGGGCUGUGAAGAGAGCGUCUGGCUUGCAGGGUUUCAGGAGUCUUCACUCAUUUGGGGGUGGACUUGUGUUUACAUCUACUUUUGAGCUAUCCCUGCACCUUGUACAACCCUCACUCAUAUGCGUGUUAGUAACCACAAUUUAAAAAGUGAUGUGAUCGUUACUUUGGUCUGUCAUGGCUGCCUUCCUGGGGAAAAACUUGUCACGCGAGAGUAAUACACAGGGGAAAGUAGCCCCACCUCAGAAGCCAGGAUGAGGCCUCAUCAGCUAAGUCUGAAACUGGAAUGAACAGCUCUGAGCCUGAAGUGAGCAAGUAGAUCAACCUGUGGAGCCCUGCUCUAGUCAUUUCUAGCUCUAAGUUGGAAAUCUGUAUUUUGAUUAUUUCCAGAUGUCAACAGACACCUUGCCCUCCCAAGUAUAUUAAAUAAAAGAAAAUUUGGUUA